rnacentral:lncRNA from 1 species
GAGGGAGUCGGCGGCGAUCUCCAUUCGGCGCAUGAGGGCCAUCUGACGGAAGAAGGAAAGGAGCUCGGAGGAGGAGGUGGUAACGGCGCGUGAGGGAGCCUCGCAAUUGUGCGCGGUGAAGGGAACAGAGGUCUCGAUGGUGAGGGGGGCAUCGGAGGAGAUCGAGCGGGAGGAGACGGCGGCGGAUAGGGGCUUGAAGAGAGUAGAUCCGAGGCCGCGGCGAGAGAGAGUUGAGAGAGCCAUGGGUUGUUGAUGCAGUUGUUGAGAUUGAGAGCUUUAGAAAAAAUAUUGAUUCCAGAAAGAGAG